GCUCAGAGAAUCUCCACUCUGUUAAGCAGCCUUCUCCCCGCACUGCCAGACUUCCAUGAAAUCCAAAGGACUCCCUUGUGCUCACUCCAUGUCUGCAUCUCUCAGAUGGACGAUGAAAAUUGAACAUCCACUUUGUCUAUCGCAUUCUUGCUAAUACACAGACAGCCUUUUAAAGAAUUUCCAAUGGAUAUAACACAUCAGGUCCAAAUAAAAGGGAACAUACCACUCAGCAGGAUGAUGUGUAAAGGUGAUAUUAAUAAUUAUCCUUACUGUCUAAGGGCAUAGGAUCUGUGCAAGAUAUGCCCUGGGUGAGAUGUCACCAUGAUUAGAGAAAGAUGAAGCUAACACAGAGAGUAUGGUUCCUGGAGUAUGCUGGAUUCAGGACAAAUGGACAUGUGGUGCCAGAUAAGUGACUGAUUGGCCUUGGCUGAGGAUGAGCACUUUCAAGUACAAACUCUCAUCUCAGAGGAAUGUUAACAAAUGUACUAGAGAUGAACUUUAGUUGGGUAAUGAAGAUCAGGCAUAGCAAAAAGAAAGGGAAAGUACUCUCUCCUGAAGACUAGGAGCUCCAUACAUUGGAACCAAUUGUACUAGCAGUGAAUCUGACUCCACAGCAAGGACCAACUUGACCAGCAGGUAAAGCAGUAAAGCAGAAAGCUGACUCUACCGUGAAGCCUGACUGAACCAACAAAGGUAGAAGCAAACCAGAGAUGACUCCAUGGCAAAGUCAGACUGAACCAUCAAUGUCAACAGUGAAAAAUCUCUGAACUGCACGAGGUGGCUGCCUUGGUGUCGGACUUAGCUGAACAGUUCCUUCAGGACUACAGCAGACCAACAGAGGACAGCCACCCUCAGAUGUCUUUGGCUACCACUGAGACUGACUCUGUUGGAAAGCGGAGUUGUUAAAGGGAGAGGUUUGGAGUGAGACAGUGUUCUGGGACUCCAUCAGCCAGACAUUAAGACUAAGAGGGGUGAACCAAACUGCUAAUCUAUUCACUUGGGCUGGUCAAUUUCUUAUAUGAAUAUGUAAGUAUAUAUACUGGUUAUGUGUGUGGGGGAGAAAGGGGUGUGUGUGUGCUGGGGGGAGAGUCCAGGUAUAUUUCCCAGAAAUAAGAGUUCAGUUCUGGGUGGGAACUUCAGCCAUAGAUUGAUAUUUUUUAUUUUUAUUUUAGUUUUUAUAAAGAAGAACCCCGAGACACUUGGAACCCAUUCCUUGUUUCUGCCAUUGGCACCUGGCAGAAGUGUCACACUAUUUAUUGGAAGUCUUUCUUUGAGUAAUAGGUAUUCAUAAUUCAAUAGUCAGGCUUGGUAACAUGGUAACUAUAGUCAUAUAAUAUUGUUUCUUUUCUUUCAUUGGAUGAUCUAACCAAAACUAAUUUUGCUUUGUGUUCUUCACUGUGAUCAUUGGGACAAGAAAAAAUUCACACACAAAUGUUUCUAUAAAACAAGGUUACACCCCCCCUUUUUUUUAUCUGAAAGUCUCUAUUUCCAUAUUCCUUAUAUUUAUCUGUCAGUUGAUUGAUUGGUACAUGGAUUUAAUGAGGUCAUAUAUUGUCUCACCAGUUCUAUUUUGUAACAAUUUAAGGUUCAGUCCUUUGGUGCCAGAUUGAGUCAAAAGCUUCUUGCAAUUUUGGCAGAGAAGUUAUGGCAAGCAGUUUGUUUACAUUUACUUGUACUUGUUUAUUGUAUACCCCCACUCAUGCCUGAUGUAAGUUUAAUUUUUAUUGGGUAAAAUGCAGAUAUUAACAUUGUUAUUGAACUGAGGGCUCUCCUCAUGUGAUGAUAGAUUGGUGUCUGGUAGAGGAGAUAUUUGGAUUAUUCUCUUCUUUUGUUUAGUUCCUUGAAUAUUUUAUCUGCAGUAUUUUGUUUCUAUUAGUUUCUCUAGUUUCUUGUGAAGAUGCAAAGUGUGAAGUAUUUUUUUAUUUUUUUUAUAUGGCCAGCCUGGUUCUCUUUAUUAUUAUAUUUUAUUUGCUCUAUGUAUAGUGGUAACUCCUACAAGGACCAAAUCAGGACCCCAUUGUGCUCAGUGCUAUACACACCAAUAACGAGAAAGUCCCUGCUCCGGUAAGCUUAGAAGUCACUUACCGUACAUUAGCUACAACAUAAAGCCACAGUGUCUUUUUGGUAUUUGAUGGCUAAUGUUAAGAGAGAAAAUGGUAAAUGCUGUGGUAAAUGGUAAAUAGUGUAAAGUAAAAGACCUUCAUUUGGAAUGGUGGGUUAUGCUUGUUUACAAUACUGAACUAAGUAAAGGACUUAAAACAACACCUUAUAUGCCAUUAGACUAGAAUCGUCUGCUGCAGAACCUGGGCAGCAGGUGCCCAAUAGAGGGAAAGUAUGCUCAGAGAUGUGGGAGGUGAGUAUCAGAAGCACAA